rnacentral:rRNA from 1 species
UACGGAGGGGGCUAGCGUUGUUCGGAAUUACUGGGCGUAAAGCGCACGUAGGCGGCCUUGCAAGUUAGAUGUGAAAGCCCGGGGCUCAACUCCGGAAUUGCCUUUAAAACUGCAUCGCUAGAAUUGUGGAGAGGUAAGUGGAAUUCCGAGUGUAGAGGUGAAAUUCGUAGAUAUUCGGAAGAACACCAGUGGCGAAGGCGACUUACUGGACACAUAUUGACGCUGAGGUGCGAAAGCGUGGGGAGCAAACAGG